rnacentral:rRNA from 1 species
UGAGUACGAGCUGCUACGGCAGCGAAGUGGGUGAUGUCAUGCUUCCAAGAAAAGCCCUAUACCCGUUAAGGCAUGAUGGCCUGUACCCGAAACCGACACAGGUGGGGUGGUAGAGAAUACCGAGGGGCGCGAGGUAACUCUCUCUAAGGAACUCGGCAAAAUGGCCCCGUAACUUCGGGAGAAGGGGUGCCACCGCAAGGUGGUCGCAGUGAAGAGGCCCAGGCGACUGUUUACCAAAAACACAGGUCUCCGCUAAGUCGCAAGACGAUGUAUGGGGGCUGACGCCUGCCCAGUGCCGGAAGGUUAAGGAAGCUGGUCAGCGUAAGCGAAGCUAGCGACUGAAGCCCCGGUGAACGGCGGCCGUAACAAUAACGGUCCUAAGGUAGCGAAAUUCCUUGUCGGGUAAGUUCCGACCCGCACGAAAGGCGUAACGAUCUGGGCGCUGUCUCGGAGAGAGGCUCGGCGAAAUAGAAUUGUCUGUGAAGAUGCGGACUACGUGCACCCGGACAGAAAGACCCUAUGAAGCUUUACUGUAGCUUGGUAUUGUGCUCGGGCUCGGAAUGCGCAGGAUAGGUGGGAGGCUAUGAACCAUUGCUUGUGGGUGAUGGUGAGCCACUGGUGAGAUACCACUCUUUCCGAGCUAGAGUUCUAACAGCCACCCGUUAUCCGGGGGCUGGACAGUAUCAGGUGGGCAGUUUGACUGGGGCGGUCGCCUCCUAAAAGGUAACGGAGGCGCGCAAAGGUUUGCUCAGGCUGGUUGGAAAUCAGCCGACGAGUGUAAAAGCAGAAGCAAGCUUGACUGUGAGACCUACAAGUCGAACAGGGAGGAAACUCGGCUUUAGUGAUCCGACGGUUCUGCGUGGAAGGGCCGUCGCUCAACGGAUGAAAGUUACUCUAGGAUAACAGGCUGAUCUCCCCCAAGAGUUCACAUCGACGGGGAGGUUUGGCACCUCGAUGUCGGCUCAUCGCAACCUGGGGCUGAAGUCGGUCCCAAGGGUUGGGCUGUUCGCCCAUUAAAGCGGUACGCGAGCUGGGUUCAGAACGUCGUGAGACAGUUCGGUCCAUAUCCGGUGCAUGCGCAGGAAUAUUGAGAGGAUUUCUCCCUAGUACGAGAGGACCGGGAGGAACGCACCUCUGGUGUACCAGUUAUCGUGCCAACGGUAAACGCUGGGUAGCCAUGUGCGGAGAGGAUAACCGCUGAAAGCAUCUAAGUGGGAAGCCCACCUCAAGAUGAGUAUUCCCAUGGGGUAACCCAGUAAGGUCACGGGAAGAACACCCGUUGAUAGGCUCUACGUGGAAGCGCAGUAAUGUGUGAAGCGGAGGAGUACUAAUAGACCGAGGGCUUGAC